rnacentral:rRNA from 1 species
GGACGCGACACGCGGUCGCCGCAUGCCCCCGCACCCCACACCCGCCCUGCAUCAUCAGCGUGCACUCCACCACCGCCGAAGCAACUAGUAGCAGCCAGACCCGGGCCUCGGAGCCGAGCCGAGCCUGCCUGCCUGGCCUGCGCGGCGCCCGAGGGCCCCGAGGGACGCGCCGCGCCAUCGCCGUCGCCAUGAGGAGGGCGCAGCCGCAGCAGGGGACGGGGGUGGUGCGCGUCGACAAGGCGUCGCCCGCGUCCAGCUUCCGCCAGCUCGACGACGCCUUCCUGCAGAAACAAACAAAAAUCUGGCUUGGCGAAGUUCUCCAUGUCAGGUUUGAUGAAGACAUUUUGGUAGCAGACCUUCUAGGUGACGGGGAAUUGCUAUUUCAAGUUUCCAAAGUGAUAUGGAAGAGGCUACUCAGAAAGAACAAAGAACAACUCAAGCAAUCAAAAGUAUAUAUUUAUGAGAGACCAUCUUUUGGUAAAAGCAACGGGAAAUAUACGCCCUAUCCAAAAGUAGACUCGUUUCUAAAGGUAUGCCAAACCCUUGGAUUAGCUGGAAUUGAUUUGUUUACCCCUUCUGAUGUGGUCGAGAAAAGAAAUGUUCGAAAAGUCUGCAUGUGCAUACGCUCACUCUCUAAAAAGGCCGGGAUGAUGCAGCUAAACGUGCCUGAUUUUGAUGUUGUUACCCACACAAUAGCCAUGCCCAACUAUAUUGUUGGAGGCAUCCGCAGAAGUCUGGAGCAGCCACAAUGCAGUUCAUCUUGUUCGAGUGGGCACAGUCCGCGUGCCAUUUCUAAAAGCAUAUUUGAAGGACAGAGUGAUGAGCAAAGCGACCGACAUUAUGACUCUGAUGAAGCAGAGAGCAGUCUCUUUGUGCUAGGGCCUCAGGAUUCUCUUGAUGACGACAAACUUUCUGAGCUUUUGCAGUUGGGUGAUGCCCCCAAGGAAGAAAGAGAAGGCUAUGGAGACAGUGGUCAUGAAAUGCCCAAAGAGAAGUCGCUAGCUGAAUCAGCGGGAUCACUUGAUGCUGGUGUUAUGGGUGCUGAUACUACGAAUUCAACUCCUUUUCAUGAGAACCUACUCUCACCAACAGAUCGGUGUUCAACAACUAGAAGAAAUAAAUGUUCACUAAGUUCAGAAGAGUCAGACUCCAUAAACAGUUAUUUAGCGUGCGACAGUAGCAAGAAUGAUGUGGGCGGUCCUCCUGUCGAAGUGUCUGAAAGGAUUCAUGAUGGACACGUCGAACCUUCACAUGAUUCUGUUCAGGGAAAUGGGAAAAUAUUCACUGAUCAUCCAGAAAAAGACGAUAGCGCAAGGACUAAGGAUCACAUGGAUGCUUGCAAAUCCGACGAACUGGAUAAAACUGAAAACAACAGAAAUGCUCAGGGGACCGGGAACAAUGCUCCCAAAUCAGGGAAAGGAGUGCUGAAGUCAGUUGCUGGAGGGAUCACGCUCAUCGGCGCGGUGUUCUUCGUAGCUCAUCUCAGGAGGAGCAAGGGGAUAAGCUUUACAACAAUUUUGCCUUCACUUUCUGAAAAAUCAAUUCAGAGCGACUCAAGGGCGAAGAAUGUAGACAACGGAAAGACAACCGAGGUGUAUCCAGGCGGAUGGCUCAAGGUUUGACAGGAGGGACAUGCCGAAUAAUCGGGCGCAAUUUGAAAGGUUAUGUCUGAUGUAAAUUCAUAUCUACCGUACUGAAGGAGCGAUAUAUACCAGCAGUAUCGUAAUUUGGUUAUAGAGCUGUGUCAAGUGACCUAAAGUUAAAUGUGUUAUAUAUUACCGUUCUUUCCAUGUAAAGAAUUGUAUAGCUUAUUUAUCACUGUUCAUAAUUCAGAGCAACUUUCUACUAGCUUCAGGCUGCGUUGUCAUGGAGGUGAAAUAUGUCCAACCUUUUGAACUAGCUUUUGCUUACUUUCUUGUUUGGUUAACCAACUUUUUUUGUUUUAGUGGCUAUUUUUCACAGCAGAUUAAUACGGUUUUGUCAAUUCUGAGUCGUCAAGGCCUCCUUUGGUUCAUAUGGUAGGAAUAUCAUAGGAAUAGGAAACUUGCAGGAAAUGAGAUGUCAUGUCGUGUUGUAUGGAUCGUUUAUUUGGUGGUCGUUGCUUUAUAUAUAAAGCGGGGCGAAAGCCUUUUUCGAUAAUGGGAUGUCAUGUAUCUCAAAACCU